AGAAGUCAGCUGCCAUGUUAAGAGGGUACUUAGGCAGGCCUGUGGAGGGGCCCAUGUAGAGAGGAAUUGAAGCUUUUUGCCAGCACCCAGCGGGGAACUGAGGUCUCCUGCCAAUAGCUGCCGAAGUGAUCCAUCAUGGAGCAGAUUGUCCAGCCACAGUCAAGCUUCAGAUGACAACCACCCCAGCUGACAGCUUUAUUGCAAACUCAUAAGAGAACCUGAGUUAGAACAACAUGGCUAAUCCACUUCCAUAUUCCUGACCCUCCAAGACUGUGUGAGGGUCUUCUGUUUGAUCUGCAGCAAGAAGAAAACACUGCUCCUCUACUACAUGAUGCACUUGGCUUCUAAACCCCAAGCUAACCAGACUAUCCUAUAUCCUCUAUCUGCUCCAUUCACCUGUAUAUCCCCUCUUGUGGA